rnacentral:lncRNA from 1 species
UCUUUUGAAUUUUUUUGUGCCAUGAGUCGACCCCCAGGGUCGACCCUAGGGUAAACUUGCAAUUUUGUCAAAACCCUUCAGGCGCUCUCUUCUUAUUGGGAAUUUUUUCUUGAGCCGACUCAGCCCUUCGUCUUCUUCCUCCCACCGAACCAAAAAGUUUCUAUCUCUUCUCCCUUAAAUCAAAGAUUUCUCUCAAAUCUCUCCUUCCACUGUUUUUCACUCUUCAAAUCGAUCGUUUAGGAACCAAGUUCCUCUCCUCUUCCUUCUUCAUUUGGGGUGGUUCGAGCUUGCCCCAGACUCUACCCAUCUUCUCCAAAUCGGCACAUCACCUCUCCAAAAUCUUUGCCUUUCCACUAGAAUCUUUUUAUCUCUCCCUCAUA